UACGAAGGUGGCAAGCGUUGUUCGGAUUUACUGGGCGUACAGGGAGCGUAGGCGGUUGGAUAAGCCCUCCGUGAAAUCUCCAGGCUUAACCUGGAAAGUGCAGAGGGGACUGUUCAGCUAGAGGAUGGGAGAGGAGCGCGGAAUUCCCGGUGUAGCGGUGAAAUGCGUAGAGAUCGGGGGGAACACCCGUGGCGAAGGCGGCCAGCUGGGCCGAUCCUGACGCUGAGGCGCGAAGGCGUGGGGAGCGAACAGG
rnacentral:rRNA from 1 species